rnacentral:rRNA from 1 species
GAUGAACGCUGACAGAAUGCUUAACACAUGCGAGUCUACUUGAAUUUGGGUUUUUUAACUUAGAUUUGGGUGGCGGACGGGUGAGUAACGCGUAAAGAACUUGCCUCACAGCUAGGGACAACAUUUGGAAACGAAUGCUAAUACCUGAUAUUAUGAUUAUAAGGCAUCUUAGAAUUAUGAAAGCUAUAUGCGCUGUGAGAGAGCUUUGCGUCCCAUUAGCUAGUUGGAGAGGUAACGGCUCACCAAGGCGAUGAUGGGUAGCCGGCCUGAGAGGGUGAACGGCCACAAGGGGACUGAGACACGGCCCUUACUCCUACGGGAGGCAGCAGUGGGGAAUAUUGGACAAUGGACCAAGAGUCUGAUCCAGCAAUUCUGUGUGCACGAUGACGUUUUUCGGAAUGUAAAGUGCUUUCAGUUGGGAAGAAAAAAAUGACGGUACCAACAGAAGAAGUGACGGCUAAAUACGU